rnacentral:lncRNA from 1 species
UGGAGUUGCUCAUCUGUAAAACAGAGAUAUUUGACUAGAUGAUCCCUAAAUUCUCUUUCAAUGACUUGUGGCUGUAGGACCUGCUGCUGUGUUGGAUUUCUGACUCUUGUCUGUCUUGAGCUGCUACACUUUAUUAUUUUUCUUUUUUUCUUUCAAAUAUCUUAAUUGCUGUACCUCUAUCUUGUUCCUGUUAAUGUCAAGAAAAUGAUGAUGAUAGUAGAAAGCUUUGUGUCAAGCACAAUGCUAAAUAUUUUGCCUGAUUUUUCUCUUUUAGUCUUCACAUAAGCAUUUGCAGUAGAUACUAUUUUUAUAUAAUCUGUCUUAGUGAUAAAGAAACUGAAGCUGAGAAAACUUAAGUAACUCCCCCAAGUUAACAAAGCUAUUAACAGGUAGAGUUGGGAAGCAAAAUCAGGUCUGCCUGGAUUACUUCUAAAUUACUGAUUUCUUGACCCUCUCUCUGAUACCUUAGCUCCUACUUCUUCAUUUUUUUAUAUGACCCUAGGACCUGCCUGGCUGUAUUCUGAGUAUAAUUCACCUUCCCAGUGUUGUUCACCAGUUUUCCUUUCAUACUGUGGCAUGACAUCAGUGUUCAAUGACCCAGCAAUUUUCCAGAAGGCAACAAAAAAGGCAAUUUAGAGAGUGAGGAGAGCUUAAGAUCAUCUUACUUAUGUCAGCUCCAUUAAGUUUUCAUUAACAUCAUGAACAAAUCAACUCUCCCUCUCCUUAUGGACUUGUGGUUUAGCAGAGGACACAGAAAUGUGGUAAAUCCAAAUGAUGACAUGGUUUUACAAACACUUGAAACAUCAGGGAGUUCUCCAUACAGUUACUAAAAUCAAGGAUGCAGAACAAAUUUGUUCCCAAGCUUUUGCUGGAGACCAGAAAAAUCAUACCAAUGAUGGUGUCUCCUCCCUCUCCCUGACUUUCGUGUUUAUACAUACUUCUUCCUCAAGUGCCUUAUGAAUAUUUUGUAAUCAAAUAAACAGAGGCAUGUUCUAGACAGAAUCUAGAUUCUCUCUCGUUACAAACGUGUUCCAAUUAUAAUUAUUUCAAAGUAUUUUAUGGUAAGAAAUCUCAUAUUUAAGAGUCAAUGUUUUAGAGUUUUUGGAGUUACUUUUGCAAUCCGAAGCUUUCUGAUUGGCUGACAUUAUCAUUGCUAUCUCUAUAAUUACAGGCAUGCAUCAUUUAAUGAUGGGGAUACAUUCUGAGAGAUGCCUUGUUAGGCAAUUUUAUUGUUAUAUGAAUAUCAUAGAGUGUUCUUUUACAAACCUAGAUGGUAUAGUCUACUACACACCUAGGCUAUAUGGUAUAGCUUAUUUCUCCUAGACUACAGACCUGCACAGCAUGUUACUGCGCUGAAUAUAGUGGGCAACUGUAACACAACAGUGAGUAUUUGUAUAUCUAAAAAUAGAAAAGGUACAGUAAAAAUGUGUUAUUAUAAUCUUAUGGGACCACUUUCAUAUAGGUUGUCCAUUGUUGACCGAAACGUUGUUAAUGUGGCACACGUCUGUAUUAUCAAAUAUUAUUUGAGUGUCUACUGUGGGUUAAGCACUGUACUAUGUACCUAGGAUAAUUCUGUAAUGAAGAAACAUAAUUUAAAUAGGGAAUCAAAACGUGUAUUUGAUUGGAAAGACGUAAUGCAGAGCAAGUCUAUAUCUGGUAAGGUAAGGCUGAAAACAACUAAAAUUACG